rnacentral:pre_miRNA from 12 species
GUGGCAGUAGAGGAGGGGGCCGUUACACUGUCAGAGAUGUACUCUGAGGGUCUCACAGUGAACCGGUCUCUUUUCCUGCUGCUUC